rfam:Triticum aestivum genome assembly, contig: Triticum_aestivum_CS42_TGACv1_scaffold_112412_2AS
CAACUACUUCUUCCGUUCCAAAAUUCUUGCCUUAGACUUGUCUAAAUACAGAUGUAUCAAAUCACGUCUUAGUAUUAGAUACAUCCAUAUCUAGACGAAUCGAAUACAAGAAUUUUGAAAUGAAUGGAGUACUAA